rnacentral:lncRNA from 9 species
UUCCUAGGUGGGAGGGAGUGCCUCUCGACUACAUUACGGGAGCUCCUAGAGAAAGUUUUAGGUACGCCUGCUGAAAUGGUUUUAGGUAGGAGGGGAAAAGGGAGUUCAGAGAGAAAAGGGUUACGUCUGUUAACUCCUACCCUUUACCAAGCACCUUGCUAGGGAGUGUAAAGAGGACGACGCUCUCACAACCUAAUAGACAAGAAGUCAGCGAUUACAACACAGAGCAAGUAAAUGUUAUGCUAGAGAAAUGCGCCAGGUUCCAAAAGAAUGUUUCAAGUUGGCAGAAAUUCUUUCUUACUGAAUUUUAAAAAUCACUUGACUGAUAAGUCAUUAAGUUCUCCAUUCUCUCAUACUUAUUUAAACAAAAUAAGGAAUAAAAUCAUCAGAGAUUCAAAAACAAUGACUCAAAGAUUUGAAAAAGACAGGAUGCAAGGCAAGAGAAGAACUGAAAGGAUUUGGGGCCAGUUGAAUUGCUUAUAAUGGAGAUGACAAAGAGCUGCAAAGGGAAGUUAUGGAAAAGAAAAAAUUAAGGAGGGCAAACAAGGUAAUGAUCAAUCCAGGCUGGCUUUAGGGAUGUUUGAGACGUUGGGGAUGAGAGGUUAGGGUGAUCUGCUCUACCAUGUGUGGCAGAACUCUAGAAUGAUAGGUGAAAAAGAGGAUUUAAAGAAUUUUUGUUGAGAGUUCCUGAUAAGGCACAAUGGGUUAAUGCUCCAGCUUGUCUCUGUGGAGGCACCAGUUUGAUCCCAGGCACAGUGAGUUAAAGAUCCAGUGUUGCCAUAGCUGUGGCAUAGGUCACAGCUGCAGCUCAGACCAUAUGCUGCACCACAGAGUCAGAAGAGGAAGAGGAAAAGAAAAAAGAUUAAGUCAUUUUCUAAAUUUUUCGAAGUGUUGUAUUAUGUUUUUUAUUUGUUUGUUUUCCAGUUACAUGCCAUGUUCAAGUUGAUUUCAGAGUGAGCGUAAUGAGGUUCAGCUUUGCAUGGAUAAUAAUUUAGGGCAUGGGUUAUUGUUCCACAAGAUGGUAGAUAUUUAAUCUGUAAUUUCAAAGAAAAUUAGUCCUAUUUUUCAAUUUCUUCUAAGUUUCGUCAUAAGCUAUAAUGCAGUGAUCCCGAUGAUUAAGAAGCUGAUAUAUUUGGUGGCUUCUAUUUGGUUACAAGUGCUGAAUAGUUUACACAGGUUAAAACAGAUUGUGGCAUUAUAAGACCACGAUAAGGCAUAACUAACAUUUAUUGAAUGCUUAUUCUGUGCUUGACUUUAUUCUAAGCAUCUAACAUGCAUUAAUUAAUUUGAUAUGCUCACUACAACUCCAUGAUGCAGAACAAGGUUUUUCCUUAUUUCUACAAAGAGGAAACUGAGGCAGGAGAAAGAUAAAUAGCAUGCUCAAGGUCACACAAUACCAGCUAGUGGA